ensembl:lncRNA
AACACCAGUUCACUCGUAUUGUUUUAUUUCUCUCGUAUUUAUACCACCAUCAUUUAACUAUGAUUUUCCCUUUUACCCUUUAAUACAUAUCCCCACAGAUGUGUAAUCCGGUCAAACACUUUUCACUGUCGGAUUCUCAGUCCUUUUUCAAGUCCUGAUACGCCCAGCUUCCAGGUUCGGUAAAACACCAGGAGUUACACCAACCACCCACACAUUUCCCAGUAUGAAAAACAACAAAUCUUUCCCUGUGUCCUUAUUUCUUCAUCUAAUAUUCUAACCUGCCAGUCCAAGAAUCACACGAGUAGGACUGCAGGACCAGAGGUAUCUACGUACCACACGGAUUGUAACUUGGAUUUCUACAGACUAAGAGUCGACCUCAGGGAACUCAAGUGAGCCCCGUCAUUCCUUUUUAAACUCUUCAUAUAUUUACCUAAGUCCCUAAACCUAAACCCCUACACUGUUCUAAACUGCCAGUCCACUGCAUGCAAACGUGGGACUGCAGUUACCAGAGGUAUCUACGUACCACACGGAUUGUAACUUGGAUUUCUACAGACUAAGAGUCGACCUCAGGGAACUCAAGUGAGCCCCGUCAUUCCUUUUUAAACUCUUCAUAUAUUUACCUAAGUCCCUAAACCUAAACCCCUACACUGUUCUAAACUGCCAGUCCACUGCAUGCAAACGUGGGACUGCAGUUACCAGAGGUAUCUACGUACCACACGGAUUGUAACUUGGAUUUCUACAGACUAAGGGUCGAC